CCCGCUGAACUUAAGCAUAUCAAUAAGCGGAGGAAAAGAAACCAACAGGGAUUGCCCCAGUAACGGCGAGUGAAGCGGCAACAGCUCAAAUUUGAAAUCUGGCCCCCAGGGUCCGAGUUGUAAUUUGCAGAGGAUGAUUUUGGCGAGGUGCCUUCCGAGUUCCCUGGAACGGGACGCCACAGAGGGUGAGAGCCCCGUCUGGUUGGACGCCGAGCCUAUGUAAAUCUCCUUCGACGAGUCGAGUUGUUUGGGAAUGCAGCUCAAAAUGGGUGGUAAGUUUCAUCUAAAGCUAAAUACUGGCGGGAGACCGAUAGCGCACAAGUAGAGUGAUCGAAAGAUGAAAAGCACUUUGGAAAGAGAGUUAAAAAGUACGUGAAAUUGUUGAAAGGGAAGCGCUUGCGACCAGACUUGCCCUUGGUUGAUCAACCUGGUGUUCAUCACCGGUGCACUCUGCUGAGGUCAGGCCAGCAUCGGUUUGGGCGGUUGGAGAAAGGCCGUGGGAAUGUGACUUCCUUUGGGGAGUGUUAUAGCCUUCGGUGCCAUGCGACCAGCCUGGACUGAGGACCGCGCCUUUAGUGGCUAGGAUGCUGGCAUAAUGGUCGUGAGCGGCCCGUCUUGAAACACGG
rnacentral:rRNA from 1 species